rnacentral:rRNA from 1 species
UACCCGGAGGAAGAGAAAGAAAAUUCGAUUCCCUUAGUAGCGGCGAGCGAAACGGGAAGAGCCCAAACCAACAAGCUUGCUUGUUGGGGUUGUAGGACACUCUAUACGGAGUUACAAAGGAUGACAUUAGACGAAUCAUCUGGAAAGAUGAAUCAAAGAAGGUAAUAAUCCUGUAGUCGAAAAUGUUGUCUCUCUUGAGUGGAUCCUGAGUACGACGGAGCACGUGAAAUUCCGUCGGA